rnacentral:tRNA from 1 species
GGAGUUGUGGCUCAGUGGUAGAGUGCUUGCCUAGCAGGCACGAGGCACUGGGUUCAAUCCUCAGCACCA